UAAACUAGGAUUAGAUACCCUAUUAUUUUUUAUGUAAAAUUUUACCUGGGUAUUAAUAGUUAUGUUCUUUAAACCUAAAGAAUUUGGCGGUAUUUUAGUCUAUUCAGAGGAAUUUGUCCCUUAAUCGAUAGUCCUCGUUUUAUCUUACUUGGUUUUGUUUUCAAUAUGUAUAUCGCCGUUAUAAGUUUAUUUUUUGAGGAUUCUUAAUUUACUUAAUAUUUUAUUUUAUUGUAUUUCAGGUCAAGGUGCAGUUAAUAAUUAAGUGGAGAUGAAUUACAAUAUUAUUUGGAUAAAUGGAUUUUUUAUUUAAAAUUUUAAUGAAAGUGGAUUUGAUAGUAAUUUUGAUAAUAAAGUUAUUUUGAUUUUAGCUCUAAAAUAAGUACACAUCG
rnacentral:rRNA from 1 species